UCAGUUGCUAAAGGGAUUGCAGACUCAUGGAUCGAUUUAGAAUUUUGGUUUUCCAUAAGGUAAGAGUAAAGAAAAAUAAAUAAAGAAUAUAAAAGAUAAGAAAAGAUAAAAGUAUAGAUACAAGCUAAUAGCAAGACACAGGUUAUCUCAGCAACCGUCUUUCUCCCCGGCAACGGCGCCAGAAAUGCUUGUUGAUAUUUGGGAACGCAAUAAGGAAUUGAUCCGCAAGCGCACGGAUAUCGGUGAGCACUUCACCCGGGAAAUUAUCCAGAGUAUCGUAUUUAUUUUUU
rnacentral:lncRNA from 1 species